rnacentral:rRNA from 1 species
AGGGGGGAGAGACUAACAGGAUUCCCCUAGUAACUGCGAGUGAAGCGGGAAAAGCUCAAAUUUAAAAUCUGGCAGUCUCUGGCUGUCCGAGUUGUAAUCUAGAGAAGUAAUGCCCGUGCUGGACCGUGUAUAAGUCUCCUGGGAUGGGGCGUCAUAGAGGGUGAGAAUCCCGUCUUUGACACGGACUACCAGUGCAUUGUGGUAUGCUCUCAAAGAGUCGAGUUGUUUGGGAAUGCAGCUCAAAAUGGGUGGUAAAUUCCAUCUAAAGCUAAAUAUUGGCGAGAGACCGAUAGCGAACAAGUACCGUGAGGGAAAGAUGAAAAGAACUUUGGAAAGAGAGUUAAACAGUACGUGAAAUUGCUGAAAGGGAAACGCUUGAAGUCAGUCGCGUUGGCCGGGAAUCAGCCUUGCUUUUGCAUGGUGUACUUUCUGGUUGACGGGUCAGCAUCAAUUUYGAUCGCUGGAAAAAGGCCUGGGGAAUGUGGCAGCUUYGGCUGUGUUAUAGCCCCUAGUCGCAUACAGUGGUUGGGAUUGAGGAACUCAGCACGCCGCAAGGCCGGGUUUCGACCACGUUCGUGCUUAGGAUGCUGGCAUAAUGGCUUUAAGCGACCCGUCUUGAAACACGGACCAAGGAGUCUAACAUGCCUGCGAGUAUUUGGGUGGAAAACUCAAGUGCGUAAUGAAAGUGAAAGUUGAGAUCCCUGUCGUGGGGAGCAUCGACGCCCGGACCAGAACUUUUGGGACGGAUCCGCGGUGGAGCAUGUAUGUUGGGACCCGAAAGAUGGUGAACUAUGCCUGAAUAGGGUGAAGCCAGAGGAAACUCUGGUGGAGGCUCGUAGCGAUUCUGACGUGCAAAUCGAUCGUCAAAUUUGGGUAUAGGGGCGAAAGACUAAUCGAACCAUCUGUGGGCCCC